AAUAAUAUGAUAGCACCUGUUGGUGGAUCACAGGCAAUAGCAGAGCACACAGGUGAUGGAAUUGUCCAGUGGACUCCAAGUUCCAUGGAGAGAGGCUUGGAAACAUGUGCUCCUCUGGGUGCCUGGAAAGACUGCUCACCAGUGACUAUGAAGCAAUAAAUGUGCAGUCUGAACACUGAUUCCUGCGCCAGAUCUUGACUGGCGUGUCUUUCGAAAGGCCAUGAGGUUCUGGAUUCUAGGGUGGUAAAUCAGAGAUGGUACUUGUCUCUCAGUAGAGUCGAUGGACCCAGACCAGAGCAUUCAGUACUUCUCCUGGCUAAAGAAAUGGUAGGUCAGCUUUCAAAAUGAGAAGAAGAUCCAAGAAAAGCUGUGAGGGUGCAGGGUUCCCCAAGGUGUCUCCCUUCCCACACGCCACCCCCUGCCACACACACAUAGGUCUAUUCCUCCAGUCUCCAAAACUCAGAUUCAUCUCAUCUAAGUAGUCUGAGAACAACUACUUCUUCUCCUCCUUCUUCUCUUUCUCCUUCUUCUUCUUUCUCCUUCUCUCCUCCUCCUCCUUCUUUUACUUCCUCUUCUUCCUCCUCCUCCGCUUCUUCUUUUAAUGGCUACUCCUGAGGCAUAUGGAAGUUUCUGGGCCAGGGACUGAAUCCCCAAGCUGCAGCUGAAAUCUAUGCCACAGCUGUGGCAACAUUGGAUCCUUUAACCCACUGCACCAGGCCAGGGAUCAAACCCAACCUCCACAGAGACCCAAACCACUGCAGUCAGAUUUUUUAAUCCACUGUAUCACAGUGGGAACUCCAGCAGUCUGGGAACUUCUAACUUUGAAGGGAAAGCUAAUCCAGACUAUUGCAUCCAUUCUCCCACCCAUGUUCACAUAGCAGGGACGGGGGUCUCAACCCAUGGGGCAGAUUUGGCAAGUCAUUCAUCUGCCAGGGUGACACCUGAUGCUCAUUAGACACUGCCUGGUUUAUGUGGUGAGUUAGCCGAGUUGGUUCAGAAUUCAAAUACUGCUGAUACCACUCCUCUGAUUCUGCUUCUUUGUGUUUCACUUUCUUCCUUCAUGUAAUAUGAUUACAAAUCCUAAUCUCAUGAGACUCUCUAAUGUAUUAAAUGAAAUAAUCCUUGUAAAAUGUUUAACAUAGAAAGAGCUUAGUGAAUG
rnacentral:lncRNA from 1 species